AUGGUGGUUUCUGACUCGGAAGCCGAUAUAUCUAUCGGUGACCUCCAUACCUACACAUUACUACGUGGGAUAUCUUCUCGUUUGGUGGUUUACAUAGUCAGACCUUCAAGGUACUAGAUCUGUGUGGUACGCACCAUAAUCGGUGUUGACAAAAUUGAGGACAAAAGUUUUACCGUUCCGAUUUGAGGCUAUUUCGGACGUUGAUAUGUACAAAGUUGAGCCUUGAGAUUUUCCAGGUGAGUUCGGUUGUUUGUGUUGAAUUUUGUGUUAAUAUUAGUUUUGUUUGGUUUAAUUGAAGCGAGAUCUUAAUUGUUGAUUUUAUGUUUCAGUGUGGGUGCAUGAAUGGCAGGGUAUUUAUAUUUGGGGUCUUUUAAUAAAGAAAUUUGUUUAAUGAAAAUUAAAUGGACCAAACUACCCCUGCAGAUAAAGACAAAAAAGGAACCUUAAAACACUUAAAAAAGAGAGAUUUUGAGUUUUGAACUAAAAUGGGAAAAAAAAUGCAAACCACAGGACCCAGAUUUAAAAAGUUUGAGAUUUGGACUAAAAUGACAAAACUACCCAAACCACAGGGACCAAAAUGGCAGUUUACUCCAAUCUUUAUAUAUACUAGUUUAUACUGACGUCGCGCGUUACGACGAAACCGAGCAAAUGAUAAUGUAAAACAAACGUGAUUUGAAAAUAAAGCAUAUUGUUUAGUCCAAACCAUUAGAACGGCUUAGUUUAUCAUCGUAGCGUUUUAUGAUAC
rnacentral:lncRNA from 1 species